rnacentral:rRNA from 1 species
UAGGGAAUCUUCCGCAAUGGACGCAAGUCUGACGGAGCAACGCCGCGUGAGUGAAGAAGGAUUUCGGUUCGUAAAACUCUGUUGUUAGAGAAGAACAGCGCAUAGAGUAACUGUUAUGCGUGUGACGGUAUCUAACCAGAAAGCCACGGCUAACUACGUGCCAGCAGCCGCGGUAAUACGUAGGUGGCAAGCGUUGUCCGGAUUUAUUGGGCGUAAAGCGAGCGCAGGCGGUCAAUUAAGUCUGAUGUGAAAGCCCCCGGCUCAACCGGGGAGGGUCAUUGGAAACUGGUUGACUUGAGUGCAGAAGAGGAGAAUGGAAUUCCAUGUGUAGCGGUGAAAUGCGUAGAUAUAUGGAGGAACACCAGUGGCGAAGGCGACUCUCUGGUCUGUAACUGACGCUGAGGCUCGAAAGCGUGGGUAGCAAACAGG